AGUGGGGAAUAUUGCACAAUGAGGGAAACCCUGAUGCAGCCAUGCCGCGUGUGUGAAGAAGGCCCGAGGGUUGUAAAGCACUUUCAAUUGUGAGGAAGAUUAAGUAGCUAAUAUCUGCUUAAUUUGACGUUAACUUUAGAAGAAGCACCGGCUAACUCUGUGCCAGCAGCCGCGGUAAUACAGAGGGUGCAAGCGUUAUUCGGAAUUACUGGGCGUAAAGCGCGCGUAGGCGGACUGUUAAGUCGGUUGUGAAAGCCCUGGGCUCAACCUAGGAACUGCAUCCGAUACUGGCAAUCUAGAGUUUAAGAGAGGGAAGUGGAAUUCCAGGUGUAGCAGUGAAAUGCGUAGAUAUCUGGAGGAACAUCAGUGGCGAAGGCGACUUCCUGGCUUAAAACUGACGCUGAGGUGCGAAAGCUUGGGUAGCGAACGGGAUUAGAUACCCCGGUAGUCCAAGCCGUAAACGAUGUCAACUAGCUGUUGGUCUUAUUAAAAAGAUUAGUAGCGUAGCUAACGCGAUAAGUUGACCGCCUGGGGAGUACGGUCGCAAGAUUAAAACUCAAAGGAAUUGACGGGGGCCCGCACAAGCGGUGGAGCAUGUGGUUUAAUUCGAUGCAACGCGAAGAACCUUACCAUCCCUUGACAUCCUGCGAACUUUCUAGAGAUAGAUUGGUGCCUUCGGGAACGCAGUGACAGGUGCUGCAUGGCUGUCGUCAGCUCGUGUCGUGAGAUGUUGGGUUAAGUCCCGCAACGAGCGCAACCCUUAUCAUUAGUUGCUAACAUUUAGUUGAGAACUCUAAUGAGACUGCCGGUGAUAAACCGGAGGAAGGCGGGGACGACGUCAAGUCAUCAUGGCCCUUAUGGGAUGGGCUACACACGUGCUACAAUGGGGGGUACAAAGAGCAGCCAACUGGCGACAGUGCGCGAAUCUCAUAAAACCUCUCGUAGUCCGGAUCGGAGUCUGCAACUCGACUCCGUGAAGUCGGAAUCGCUAGUAAUCGUGAAUCAGAAUGUCACGGUGAAUACGU
rnacentral:rRNA from 1 species